rnacentral:rRNA from 1 species
GACGUAGGGGGCGAGCGUUGUCCGGAUUUAUUGGGCGUAAAGGGUGCGUAGGCGGCGCGGUAAGUCGGGUGUGAAAUCUCGGAGCUUAACUCCGAAACUGCAUUCGAUACUGCCGUGCUUGAGGACUGGAGAGGAGACUGGAAUUUACGGUGUAGCGGUGAAAUGCGUAGAUAUCGUAAGGAAGACCAGUGGCGAAGGCGGGUCUCUGGACAGUUCCUGACGCUGAGGCACGAAGGCCAGGGGAGCAAACGGG